CCUUACCAUACAGUACAUUGUUGUGUCUAGAAGUAGAUGACCAAAUUGUACCUAUUGAUAAAUGUGAAUUAUAUUAAAUUUUCAAUAUUUUUGAAACAAUGGCUAAUAGCAGUAUACAUUUUAUUAUUAUAGUAUUGUUGGUGUCAUAUGUGUGCAAUUCUAUAGGCUACGAUGAAGAUUCUACGAGCUUAGAAAAUCAGUCUAGAAUAUUGUCAAGAAGAAAGAGAUACUUAACAUUUCCUGAUGGAAGCUCAUUUCAGCUAAUUUUUUGCACGCAAAACCACGGCUAUCUUCAAAUAGGCGAUAUUGUGUGGUUUGGCAACACUGCAGCGUUAGCUUGGGAACUACCCACGGAUCCGAAGUACUUUAAGAUAUUUAAAGAACACGAGAAAGAUAUCAUUCAGAAUAGAAAUGGUAUUUCUAAAAGUAUAUACUAUCUUGACGAAUAUGGGAAAGUCUUGAGUAAAAUACCUUAUCAUACGAGGUUUUUGGUUAACCCAGCAAUGGCCAAACGAAGCUCUGACAUCUAUAUGGGUGAAAUUAUUACUCCCAAAUUAAUCAAGAAUUUACACAAAAGACAUAUGAACUUUACUUUCGACGACUCAAAUAUUGAUUUCCAUAGAGACGGAAGAAUGGAUUUCUAUAAAAAAUUGGAAAGCUUUUUCAGAGCACUAGGUGUCAAUGGUAAGGAAUGUGUUUUUCGAUUGCUUUGUGAGACUAGUCAAGGCAGUGAGCACCAAGGAUCGUUUGUCGAGGAAAUCAUGAGAGUUACAUUUACGCUUCCUCCUCGAAAGGGAUCCGGAUCUAAGUUGGAUGAGUACGACGUGGCUCAUUCAACGAAAGAUGAUUGUUAUAAAUUGUACCCCAAAUGUGAUUUGUCUAAUUAAACAUAUUUUGUAUAGUAUAA